AGUGAACGCUGGCGGUAGGCCUAACACAUGCAAGUCGAACGGCAGCACAGUAAGAGCUUGCUCUUACGGGUGGCGAGUGGCGGACGGGUGAGGAAUACAUCGGAAUCUACUUUUUCGUGGGGGAUAACGUAGGGAAACUUACGCUAAUACCGCAUACGACCUACGGGUGAAAGCAGGGGAUCUUCGGACCUUGCGCGAUUGAAUGAGCCGAUGUCGGAUUAGCUAGUUGGCGGGGUAAGGCCCACCAAGGCGACGAACCGUAGCUGGUCUGAGAGGAUGAUCAGCCACACUGGAACUGAGACACGGUCCAGACUCCUACGGGAGGCAGCAGUGGGGAACAUUGGACAAUGGGCGCAAGCCUGAUCCAGCCAUACCGCGUGGGUGAAGAAGGCCUUCGGGUUGUAAAGCCCUUUUGUUGGGAAGGAAAAGCAGCAGGUUAAUACCCCGCUGUUCUGACGGUACCCAAAGAAUAAGCACCGGCUAACUUCGUG
rnacentral:rRNA from 1 species